rnacentral:rRNA from 1 species
GACGAACGCUGGCGGCGCGCCUAACACAUGCAAGUCGAACGGAGCUGAGAGAAGCUUGCUUUUCUUAGCUUAGUGGCGAACGGGUGAGUAACGCGUGAGUAACCUGCCCUGGAGUGGGGGACAACAGUUGGAAACGACUGCUAAUACCGCAUAAGCCCACGAUCCGGCAUCGGAUUGAGGGAAAAGGAUUUAUUCGCUUCAGGAUGGACUUGCGUCGAAUUAGCUAGUUGGUGAGGUAACGGCCCACCAAGGCGACGAUUGGUAGCCGGACUGAGAGGGUGAACGGUGACAUUGGGACUGAGACACGGCCCAGACUCCUACGGGAGGCAGGAGUGGGGGAUAUUGCAGAAGGGGGGAAACGCUGAUGCAGCGACGCCGCGUGGAGGAAGAAGGUUUUGGGAUUGUAAACUCCUGUCGUUAGGGACGAUAAUGACGGUACCUAACAAGAAAGCACCGGCUAACUACGUG